AGGGUCCGGAACCCUAGCGUCUUGUCUCGAUGUUUUCCAGUCGGAAGUUAAAGCUGAGUCCUUGGCUCCCCCGGAUGUUGUUACAGAGCCGUUUCCGGGGCGGUGUGCGGAGAAGUAGGACUCAUAAUGGGUCGCAGUCGCAGCCGAUCCCCGCGGAGAGAACGUAGGCGAUCGCGGUCUACUUCCCGGGAGAGAGAGCGCCGGCGCCGGGAAAGGUCCCGAUCCCGGGAGAGAGAUCGCAGGAGAAGCCGCUCCAGGUCCCCGCACAGGCGCCGCUCUAGAUCUCCAAGACGACAUAGAUCCACAUCGCCUUCCCCUUCACGAUUGAAAGAAAGAAGAGAUGAGGAGAAGAAGGAAACAAAAGAAACAAAGAGCAAAGAACGUCAGAUUACUGAGGAAGACUUAGAAGGCAAAACAGAGGAAGAAAUAGAAAUGAUGAAGUUAAUGGGAUUUGCAUCUUUUGACUCCACAAAAGGAAAAAAGGUAGAUGGUUCUGUAAAUGCCUAUGCCAUAAAUGUAUCUCAGAAGAGGAAGUACAGGCAAUACAUGAAUAGAAAAGGUGGAUUCAACAGACCUUUGGAUUUUAUUGCAUGAGAAGUAAAAUAUUGAAGAAUGAUUUUUUCCCCCUCAUCUUGUCGGAGAGUGGAUUUUGUAUUUUGUAUUUAAUAUGCAUCAAAAACAGGAUCUCAGUUCUUCUUUCAUGUAAACCACGUGGCGCCAGCAGGAUCCCUCGACCCACCGCCCCGACCGUUCGCCAGGCUGCGCUCCCGCUGAGGGACUUGCGGCAGAGCCCGGGACCGCCGGAGUCCCUGGAAGCGCGGAGCCUCCUCCGCUGCGGCUCCGAACCUGAGCUAAGCAGAGCGCCCAGUGACGCAAGGUGCCAUCCUUCCAUUCGAGGGACGCUUGGCAAGUCCCUGAAGUUUUCCCGGAAGACAGGGCGACAACAGGUCUGAGGCGAACCGGGAGGGGUCGGGUGGAGCCCGACUCCGCAGCGGCCGGUGAAUCAGCACCGGCCAACCCCACUAGCCAAUGCCGAACUUGAAGAGGAGUAAUCGGGCAGCUGACCACCAGCCACUCGGGGCCCGCGGGGCCUGGCGAAAGGUGAUAUCAUUGCUGCUGGGAGUUUUCCAAGGUAUUCACCAAUGAGAGCCAGGCGAAGUGGCUUGCUUUCUACAGCUCUUGGCCAAUACUAACAAAGCAAAAAGGCUGUUCCUAUAGAACCAAUGGAAAACAGGGAAGGAGCAGGAGGCGGAGUUGCGAAUCCUGUCACCAAUUGGAAAAAAGGGGUGGAGCUAGGGCCUUGUCAACCGCGGCCAACCAACGAAAGGAGCGGACUUUGAGGGGCGGGGCCUCUGUACCCCCUACCAAUCGCACAAAGCCAGGGGUGGGGCAUUCUUUCAGGUGCCCAAUGAGGAACGCAGCCGAAGCGGGCCUGUCAAGAGAAGGGGCUAGGGGCGGGGGGAUGGUGAGUCGGGAUAAACACUCCGCGGCGGUGGUGGCUGCUCUGCCCCGGGUUCUGUCACGGUGUCGGCGGUGCCCAGCUCACUGACCUCUUUCCUCCCGACAAGCGUGGUUGCCCAAGAGGCUCCUUCAACGCAGCUCAGCGGGGUCCACCCCGAGGUGCGGGUGUCCGGCGGCGAGCCUGUGGACAGUGGGGGUUGGUCCCGUGGCUCCAGCCCCCGUGCAGAAUGGCGACGGCGGUUCGGAUGAACAUCCAGAUGCUGCUGGAGGCGGCCGACUAUCUGGAGCGGCGGGAGAGAGGUGCACGGGCUUGGAGAGGGGUCUGGCCCGGGCUGAGGGUCCUAGGGAACCAAAUCCGGGGAUCGUGGCGCCCAGCCUCUCCGGGGUGGUUGGAGACGCCAGAAACGCGACCGCGAGCGCUCCCAACCCCUCCACUGUCCCCACGCGCGCUCUGAAAGGAAGGCCACCGCUGCCCACAGCAGUGAGCGGGCUGCUGCCCGGGUCCUGCACCUCCUCCCCACCCCCUCCGAGUGGGUACGGGGCCCUCGCAGCCAGUCGCCUUUGGCUUUCCUCACCUGCGCGGUUUGCCUGCCUGCUCCCCCGCGGCUGCCGCCUAGUCCCCGGGGCGAGGAGCAGUGCCUCCCCCGGCCCGGUCCGCGGUUGUGCCCCGCACCUUCUCCCUAGGCUAGUCCCGCUUAACCCGCACCAACCUGCUGGACGUUAGCAAUGGGAAACCCGGGCUUGGAGCUUAGCCACUUGCUGUGUCUUUCUCAACAAUGAGCAGCUGGAAUCUUCUUUACACCUGCCCGGAGCAGGGGGUGGUCACGCAAUUUAAAAAUAUAUAUAUUGUUCUCAGAA